rnacentral:misc_RNA from 1 species
GAUGAAGAACGCAGCGAAAUGCGAUAAGUAAUGUGAAUUGCAGAACUCCGUGAAUCAUCGAAUCUUUGAACGCACAUUGCGCCCCCUGGCAUUCCGGGGGGCAUGCCUGUCCGAGCGUCAUUUCUGCCCUCAAGCACGGCUUGUGUGUUGGGUGUGGUCCCCCCGGGGACCUGCCCGAAAGGCAGCGGCGACGUCCGUCUGGUCCUCGAGCGUAUGGGGCUCUGUCACUCGCUCGGGAAGGACCUGCGGGGGUUGGUCACCACUAUAUUUUACCACGGUUGACCUCGGAUCAGGUAGGAGUUACCCGCUGAACUUAAGCAUAUCAAUAAGCGGAGGA